rnacentral:rRNA from 1 species
ACAGGCGAGAAACCUUAGCAAUGUGCGAAAGCACGACUGGGUCAGUCCGAGUGAUUCCUGAUAAAGGAGUCUUUUGCUUGUCCUAAAAGCACAGGUGAAUAAGGGGUGGGCAAGUCUGGUGUCAGCCGCCGCGGUAAUACCAGCACCUCGAGUGGUCAGGACGUUUAUUGGGCCUAAAGCAUCCGUAGCCGGCUCUGCAAGUCUUCGGUUAAAUCCACCUGCUCAACAGAUGGGCUGCUGGAGAUACUACAGAGCUAGGGAGUGGGAGAGGCAGACGGUAUUCAGUGGGUAGGGGUAAAAUCCUCUGAUCCAUUGAGGACCACCAGUGGCGAAGGCGGUCUGCCAGAACACGUUCGACGGUGAGGGAUGAAAGCUGGGGGAGCAAACCGGAUUAGAUACCCGGGUAGUCCCAGCUGUAAACGAUGCAAACUCGGUGAUGCAUUGGCUUAUGGCCAAUGCAGUGCCGCAGGGAAGCCGUUAAGUUUGCCGCCUGGGAAGUACGGACGCAAGUCUGAAACUUAAAGGAAUUGGCGGGGGAGCACCACAAGGGGUGAAGCCUCGGUUCAAUUGGAGUCAACGCCGGACCUGCCGGAAUUGGAGUCAACGCCGGGAUUGGAGUAACGCCG